rnacentral:rRNA from 1 species
AGUGAACGCUGGCGGUAGGCCUAACACAUGCCAGUCGAACGGCAGCACAGUAAGAGCUUGCUCGUACGGGUGGCGAGUGGCGGACGGGUGAGGAAUACAUCGGAAUCUACUUUUUCGUGGGGGAUAACGUAGGGAAACUUACGCUAAUACCGCAUACGACCUACGGGUGAAAGCAGGGGAUCUUCGGACCUUGCGCGAUUGAAUGAGCCGAUGUCGGAUUAGCUAGUUGGCGGGGUAAAGGCCCACCAAGGCGACGAUCCGUAGGUGGUCUGAGAGGAUGAUCAGCCACACUGGAACUGAGACACGGUCCAGACUCCUACGGGAGGCGGCAGUGGGGAAUAUUGGACAAUGGGCGCAAGCCUGAUCCAGCCAUACCGCGUGGGUGAAGAAGGACCUCGGGUUGUAAAGCCCUUUUGUUGGGAAAGAAAAGCAGCAGGUUAAUACCCCGCUGUUCUGACGGUACCCAAAGAAUAAGCACCGGCUAACUUCGUG